CAACAGGGAUUGCCUCAGUAACGGCGAGUGAAGCGGCAAAAGCUCAAAUUUGAAAUCUGGCGUCUUUGGCGUCCGAGUUGUAAUUUGUAGAGGUAGCUUUGGGUGUACAGCCAGGUCUAUGUUCCUUGGAACAGGACGUCAUGGAGGGUGAGAAUCCCGUAAAUGGCUUGGCCAGUGCCUAUGUAUAGCGCCUUCAACGAGUCGAGUUGUUUGGGAAUGCAGCUCUAACCGGGUGGUAAAUUCCAUCUAAAGCUAAAUACUGGCGAGAGACCGAUAGCGCACAAGUAGAGUGAUCGAAAGGUGAAAAGCACUCCGGAAGGAGAGUUAAACAGCACGUGAAAUUGUUGAAAGGGAAGCGCUUGAGACCAGACUCAGGCAGGGUUGAUCAACCUCCAUUCUUGGUGGUGCACUCUUCUCUGCCCGGGCCAGCAACAGUUUUAACGGUGGUAUAAAGGUUUAGGGAAUGUGGCACUCUUCGGAGUGUGUUAUAACCCUAUUCGUAAUGCUGCCAGUUGAGACUGAGGACCGCGC
rnacentral:rRNA from 1 species